UACGUAGGCGGAAAAUUAAGUCAGUAGUGAAAUCCUGCAGCUUAACUGUAGAACUGUUAUUGAUACUGGUUUUCUUGAAUAUAGUUGAGGUAGGCGGAAUGUGUAAAUGUAGCGGUGAAAUGCCUAGAUAUUACACAGAACACCGAUUGCGAAGGCAGCUUACUAAGCUAUGAUUGACGCUGAGGUACGAAAGCGUGGGGAGCGAACAGGAUUAGAUACCCUGGUAGUCC
rnacentral:rRNA from 1 species